ensembl:lncRNA
AGAAUUAAAGCCUACAAAAGAACAUAUUUCCAAUAUUUCAUUAUAGAAAAUAAUGACUUGAUUAAUGUGUGGCUUUUUAAGCCAAUCAAGGAGAGCACCAAACACUGCAAGAGUAAAAGGGAUGGGAUCCUUACUCCUCCUCUUAGUAAUCGCAAGGGAUCAACGUGUUCCAUGUGAUCAAAGAAAGGUGAAACUUCUGUGACAACAAGAUGAAAACAGGUUUGCACUGCAUCCUGUGGGAUAUUAGAAUGAGCUGCCAAGAAGCUAGAAGACAGGUCUUUCUAGACAAAAUAUCUAGACCAUGGAGCAUAUGGCAGCCUCCAAGGAAGACAACAUGUCUCAGUCUGCUGGAGAACUCUUCCCUUGCAGGCGACUUCUUUGGGAGAUGAAGGGAGAUGCCAGGGAUUUGGAUAACGUUCACUCAUCUCAGUCUUGGGGAAAAAUCUAGAUGGGCUGAUACGUGUUUGAGAUCUGGCCUCCCUCAGAGCUGUAUGCUGUAUUUUAAAAGCUGCAUUAUAUUGACGUUCAAACACUUAGAUCUCAAAAGGACAUUGUGGAUGACCUCCAGGGGGACCGAACUCAUCAGAAAUCAGGUAUUAAAGGGCCGCUUCACCACUCCUGUCCCAUGUGAGAAAUGCAGGCAGAAAAUAAGGUCCUCAGUUGUACGCCACUCCCAACCAAACAACAAAACAAAACAGACAGAAACAACAACAACAACAACAAAAUGAACUUGAAAGAAGAAAUGGUCUGGUUGGGCUCUGGUAAUCCAUAUUUUAAAAAUUACAAGUGUCACAGGUAAUUUGAAGGCAGAUCAGGCAUCUUCUAAAUCAAAAUGUGUGGACCUCACUAGAAAAUACUACCAACAGUUAACAGUUAUAAAG